rnacentral:rRNA from 1 species
GACGAACGCUGGCGGCGUGCUUAACACAUGCAAGUCGAACGGAAAGGCCCUGCUUUUGUGGGGUGCUCGAGUGGCGAACGGGUGAGUAACACGAGAGUAACCUGACCUUGACUUUGGGAUAACUUCAGGAAACUGGGGCUAAUACCGGAUAGGAGCUCCUGCUGCAUGGUGGGGGUUGGUAAGUUUCGGCGGUUGGGGCUGGACUCGCGGCGUAUCAGCUUGUUGGUGGGGUAGUGGCUUGCCAAGGCUUUGACGGGUAGCCGGCCUGAGAGGGUGACCGGCCACAUUGGGACUGAGAUACGGCCCAGACGCCUGCGGGAUGCAGCAGUGGGGAAUAUUGCACUAUGGGCGGGAGGCUGAAGCAGCAACGCCGCGUGCGGGAUGACGGCCUUCGGGUUGUAAACCGCUUUCGCCUGUGACGAAGCGUGAGUGACGGUAAUGGGUAAAGAAGCACCGGCUAACUACGUG